rnacentral:rRNA from 1 species
CGUUGAUUACGUCCCUGCCCUUUGUACACACCGCCCGUCGCUACUACCGAUUGAAUGGCUCAGUGAGGCUUUCGGACUGGCUCAGGGAGGUCGGCAACGACCACCCAGAGCCGGAAAGUUGUUCAAACUUGGUCAUUUAGAGGAAGUAAAAGUCGUAACAAGG